CGCGGGGGCGCUAUCUGCAGUCGGCGCACGCGAUGGGCUUGCCCUUUCAGUAGCGCGAAUAGGAGUAAACUUGGAAACUGCCUCAGGCCAGGGAAACAUUUGGAAAAGAUUUAAUACCGAAUAAAACUUAGUGUCGCAUGACACAAAGUUAAUGACGCUUCGACGUCACCUAGAUAUGGAUCCGCGGUGCAUUUGUUAUUUGGUGGGGUAAAGCCACACCAAGGCAUUCAUGCAUCGCCGAGUUGAGAUCCUUAUCGGUCACAUUGGUACUGAGACACGGCCUAAACUCCUAUGCGAGGCGACAGUGGGGCAUCUUCCACAAUGGGCGAGAGCCAUAUGGAGCAACGCCGCGUUAUUGAUGAAGGCUUUGGGGUCGUUAAGCACUGUUGUAUAAGAAAAGCAGCUAGAAUAGGAAAUGAUUUUAGUUUGACGGUACCAUACCAGAAAGGGACGGCUAAAUACGUGCCAGCAGCCGCGGAAAUACGUAUGUCCCGAGCGUUAUCCGGAUUUAUUGGGCGUAAAGCGAGCGCAGACGGUUUAUUAAGUCUGAUGUGAAAGCCCGGAGCUCAACUCCGGAAUGGCAUUGGAAACUGGUUAACUUGAGUGCAGUAGAGGAAGUGGUUCGG
rnacentral:rRNA from 1 species